GAGUAUGGAUCGGGAGACGCGCAGCUCAAUCUCGCGAAUGGGAUUCCCAGGUAGUGCAGGCAAAAUGUGGCCGAAAUUUCCAGCGGCUCAGUAGUGAUUGAGUGAGUGAUGGUUCCUUUGCGCAGAUUCUACCUCAUGGAGCUCAAGAAAACGGGGCUGCGAUUCAAAAGGAUAACGCAUCACGCCAGGGUCACGCAGUGUCUGGGAUCAGUGGGAGCUCAUCCUUGGUACAUGGCGGUCUCUCUUCCCAGCAUUGUGGAUCCUUCAUCGUAACACGAGGGCGCUGUUCGAUCCAACGCUGGUGGCCACUACUAUUUACCUCCCUCUCAUGCAAGCGUCCAGGUUUUCAAGAUAGAUGGUCCUCGCUUCAUCAAGCUAAACGAAGGAACUUGGCACGCUGGUCCUCUCUUCGAUGAUCGAGAUUCGAUGGUCUUCUACAACUUGGAGCUCAGUGACACCAACGUAAGAUCAUUUGAUCGAGCUUGUAGUUACCAUGACUUAUGUUUUCUCCUUUUUCUUGUUGCAGGUUGUGGAUCACACUACCCACGUGUUUGAGGACGACGUACUGAUCGAAGAUUGAGGUACAGAGCCUUGGCAUUUCAUGUGAUAUUCGAACGUGAUUUUUGUGCUAGGUGAUGGCGAGCUUAAACACUUUUUUGCGUGUCUAGAAAAGCAAAUGGUGGAAAUGAAACAAGUUCUUUGCGAGCUAAGAAUUUCAUGUCCCUUGCCAUCAAGUUGUCGAGGAGCUCCUUUUGUGCCUCGGGACAUUGACUAGUAGUUACAAAAGGAGGCUGAUGAUCCUGGUCGGAAGAAAAUUUACGAACGGGAUGACUCCCACAGACCAUGGCGUCAACUCCCUGGUAUAAAUCUUUCUUAAUUGAACUGUAACACUGUUAGAAUUCUGUGCAGGGUGCUGAUUAUGGUCGAAAGCCGCCUGCUUUCUGUCGAACACGAGCGAGCGGAUGUUGAGAGUAUUCAUGUAAUUUGCCUCCUGCCAGUCCAGCUCGCUACUUCCGCCAAGAACUCGGGUUCCCUCAGUCAACAGCAAGAUGGAAAUGUUCCAGAAGUCUUUCUUCUUGAUGUCGGUCACAAACUCGAGCGGUGGAUGAUAUCCUUUGAAAGGUUUUGCUGCUCCUGAAACUUCUUGUAUUUCACCUCUUCGUGGUUCUGAUUCUAAUAAUGUAACUUUCGUGACAGCGGAAAAGUACGAACUCUAUGCUUGGAAAGUUUCAAAACAGCGUAGUGGUGACCACAAUUUCAGAAAGGAGAUCUUCUAUGAAGUAAAGGAAGCUUUAUUUUUCAUGUUGAUUCAUGUUUUCUUUCCUAUUUAGCGUUCUGUUAGUGAAUUACAAUUGCGUAAGCGAAGUUGCUGCGAGUUCGGAUCUCCUAUGAAGUAAGCUUCUUCUUCUUUGGAUGUUGAUUGAUUUUUUUCUUUCUUUUUUUAGAGUUUACGUGAGCAAGUUGCUGAAACUGAAUUUGUAUUUUCUUCUUUACAGCAUGACACAUUCGAGGUAUGAUUUUUGGUUUUUUUUUGGAAAAGGUGAAGCUACAGCCUAUGUAAGUUCAAUAGGGCGCUGUUGACGAGCUCCUCGAGGCUUCUGGAAUGCUUGGUAAGUCCCACAAAACCCGAAAACGUUAAGAAGUUUUCUUCGUCUGAGGCAGUCGCUGACAUUGCUUCCAGGGACGCCUCCAUUUCACCGUCUUCUCUAAAACGUCGCAAGAACCUGGCGUCCUUUGCCAUCAAGCUGUUCAGAAGCUCUACGCUAUAUCGCCGGAUACGAUUCAAGCUCCUAGAAGGUGCUGUCUGGGAUAGAAGCUCUGUGAUUUUUUCGCAAAGCCGUGAUUGUUGCGAUAGCACGCCUUGUUCAAAGUUACGUGUGUCGAGCCAGGGGAUUAUGGCUGCUGCCAAACCGAUGGCUGCCUGCUGUUCCUUGUCUGUGGAUUCCAGCACCAUCUGGAGGAUGGGAGAUAUGGCUGCUCCAAGCUCCAACUUUUCUUCGUCGUUAAGCUCACCGCACAAGCUUCGCAAAAUUGUGGCUGCAUGGACUCCAAUUGGCUUGGUGAGCAUGUUGAUCAAGCUCUUGAGGGUCUUGCUAACGCCACCUUGGCUGUAGCUUUUGCGCCUGAGGAGCCUCGAGCAAUUGUUGGGACACUGGAGGACGAGCAAAAAUAUGGCUUCCCCGGCUCUCAUGGCGAUGCUCAACUGGUGGCUGUUCGGUGCGGUUUCUCUCGCAAAUAUGGCCAUCAAGCUUUGGAUAACUCCUCCAGUUGCACCAAUGCAAUCUCUAAGCUCGUCCUCGGUUGCUAACAGCUUGAUCACGUCUACUGCCAGGUCCUGUAGCUCCAAAUCUUCGAGAUUGCAUAUCCUUUGAAGACUUCUUACUGCUGACACUACCGACACUAUCUUCUUUCGCAGAGACCGUCCAGAAUCUCCUCCCGCGCCAGCCAAUGUCCUCAAAAGCUCGAGUGAUCGACGGAAUACUUUUCUCGACGUUCGUACUUCGAGGAAGUUCCAGUCUUCGUCUUGGAUAAACGCAACCAGGAUGGAGAUAAGUCCGCUGGUGUUACCGAUUCGCACGCAUGUCCUGUGGUCCACGGCUAGCCUGUUGAGGAUAGCGAGUCCGUAUCUCUGUUCUUCUGGCACUAUCUUCUCUCCUGCGGUUAAAAGGGAAAUGAUGGCUUCCAGGGAUCCAGGGAUAGCGGAAAUCCUGAAGCAGUUACUCCGGUGACGAAGCAGGUACUUGAUUACUAUCGUUGCAGCUUUCCUGAUUUCGGCCUCACUAAGAUCCUUCCAGGUGAUCAUCUCUAAGAGUCUCUCCACAACUCCACAACUACACAGGAGGAAGAAAGAAAAGGUAGAGAAGAAAGUGAAGAAGAAUCAAUGAAGAAGACGAAGAAAGGAGCUAAUUACUUCUGUCCGUGAAGAUGAGUGGAGAGAGCAACUUCAAAGAGCUAAAACUUUCACACGACAAACGGUCAGACGAGAAACUGGAGCACUAGUGCUGCGAUUCCAGAUUGAUCAAUGUUGUUUGACAACAAUGAUCUGACACACACAAGACUGUUUUCUUCGUCUCGGUAGCGCCCUUUCUACUGUUGCACAACAAACUAUUGCACAGCCGUGGAAGGGAAUAAUAGUAUAUAGAAACCUGUUGUAUCUCGUACUCUUGCUCUAUAAAUUCUCCAUAAACUUAAAGCUUCUUCUUCCAGGCCUAGAGAAAAGUCGGCUUCAAACACACGGCAUGGCCAUCUUUUUGUGUGUACUGUGCAGAACUCUCCCUUUCAACCAGGUCUUAUAGUUUGCCACUUACUAAGCUUAGGUGGUGGGAAAGAAAAAACUGGAGUAGUGAUGUUUCUAUCUUAUACUUAAGAACCUUGUGUUGGCUCGAGGAGUAGUACUACGAAGUGGUGUAACAAACGCAAAGCUUGGACAGGGCAGAUUGCUACUGAACACUAUUGCCAUUGCCACAAGCCUCAAAUUUGCAGGGCAAACUUUCUUUUCCUUCUUGUGAAUAUUACAAUUUUCUUUCAUUGUGCAAGAUAAAAAUUAAUUUAUACCUCCAAAUAUAUAGAUAUUUAUAUAUAAAAAACUUUUUAAUACAACUAAUUCAAUUACACAAAAUCUUUGUUUGCUUUUUUUGAUGACAUGCAUCAUAAACAUGCCCCUAAUUGAUCUUGUUGUACUCAUUAUCACCAUUUAAAUAAAUGAAUAUCAAAUCAUUUAAAGUUUCAAUAUUUAAAUAGCAUUUUGAAGUAGUUUUUAACUGAUUUUGAUAAGAAAAUCCACCUUCAGCACAAGUAGUGCUCACAGGUAUCAAAGAGAUAAUUUUGCAUAAUUCUAUCAAAUUAAAACAUAUAUCUAUCAUGGAAAUAUCAUCUCUGCAUAUUUGCCAAGCGACUAGCUUAUUUUUUGUCAACAGAUUACUUUGCAUAAUAGUUACAAACUUUGUGAAUUCUCCUUUACAUUUUUCCCCAUCAACAAAAGCACCAUACUAGUUCAGUAAAAUAUUUAGCCAUUUGUAAAAGUUGUUAUCCAAUUUUUCCUUAUUUGAAUAAUUCUUUGGGCUAAACAGUUUUGUAACAUUGAAUAUGCCUAUAUCUUUUCCCAUUCUAGCUAACAUAUCAAUGUAUAGUUUUUGAACGCAGUCCUUAUUUAAAUUUAAGUAAGAGCUUAAGCUCCCAUCUCCUUUGCUCUCUAGAAUAAAAGUAUAAUUUAAGACAUGCUUAUGUUAUUCCUUUUCAGCAUUUAUAAACUUGAUAAAUUCAUCUUUAGUAACCUCCACAAAAUUACUCAAGUGUUUCACACUAAGAGUCUCUUUCAGAAAUUUUCUUUUGAUACUUUUCAAAGUACCAUAUAAUUACCCAACAAUGCUAGCAAUAUCCACAGUUUCAACUUUAAAAGAUUUUGUUCAAACUAUUUAAUUCCAGAAGUAUAUUAGGUAGCAUAUGAAUAAAUGAUCAAUCUUUUUAAAACUUCCCCAUGAAAUAAUCAACGUACACUGUGGAUUUGAAGCAUACCUAAUGUAAAUAUAUUUAUAGCAUCUUCUAGAGGCCUAAAAGCCAUGACUCUUUUUCUAAAAGUAUGCAACCAUUUAUAAAUUUGAUUGCAUAGCUUUUGAACAAUCAUAAGUUUAAAAAAUGCAUGCACAACUUCAAUAGCCACUAAACUUUAUUUAUGUGUUAAGUAAUGCACUCCAAGCAAGUGUGGAAUGUUAUGUUUCAAUAUUGUCACUAGACCAAAUUAUUCUCCAACCAUAAUAAAAGCUCCAUCAAUUUCAAUAACAACACAUUUUCCCUUUUUAAAGUUCAUUUCUUCCAAAACCUUUUUGAUGGCUUUAUAUUUAUUUACAACCUUUAGUUACCAUCAAUUUGAAAAAGUAAGUUUUAUUCAGACUUUUUUCUUUUUCUUGCAUAUGGAAAGAGAUGUAUAUGAUAAGAUGAGAUUCCAAACUUUUAUCAGUAUUGUUAUCCACCAUAAUAGAAAAGUAAGGACUAGCUCAAAUAUUUUGGCAAACAUCUUUCCAUCACAUAUCUUUUUUGCAUUUUACAAACUUUUUUCCACUCAUAGCAUUCAUAUAAGCCUUAUACUCUAUGGUGAUUGGCAUAUAGGGCAUUUCUAUAAACCUAUUAAAUUCACACAAAGAUUUAUAGCUUUGUAAAGGUAAUCCUUUAUUCACAAUGAAGUACAUGUGUUGCAUUAAGGAAAUCAAUUUAUUUUUGUGUUGAUCUUUUUGAGCAGUAAUAUAUUUAAGGAUAGAUAACCCUUUCUUUUUUCUUUACUUCCCAAAUAACUAUAGCUAAUUGAUGUUAUUUGGAAUUAUUAUGCUAUUUUAAAAUUGGUUUUUGAAAAGUCAAAGAACCAUCCUUACCAAAAAAAUUAUCCUUUUUAGCAUAUACAUAUAUUAUACAUUUUAUUUUUUAAUUGCCUUCAACAUCUAUCACAAGAUACACCCAAGGAAAACUAAGUUUCCACUCAAUUCUGAAUGUUUUAUUCUUUUCCUCUUUUUAUUGGUUGUAAUAUUAGUUUCUUCUUCUGUUGUUGAAAAAUCUUCAUCCUCUGAUCUAAUUUUAAAUCCUUCACCAAAAAGAGAAUUAUAAAGCUUUUGCCUUGCAAUAUUUUGUUAAUUUAUAUUUUUUUUUUUCCCUCUCAUAGGCAAUAGCAAAAAAUGCUUCAAUCCUAUGUUGUUGCUGUCACUAUCGCUGCUUUCCCAUUUGCCCUAGUCCUAAUCCAUGUCAACUUCAUUGAAUUCAGGUGGUUAGACAUCAGGAUAUUUUCACAAUAUUCUUAAUAAUAUUAGAUAGAAUAUUAUCUAUACUGCAAUGUACGAAUUUUCUUUGCCCUGCAAGUGGCAACUAAAAUAUUUCUAUACUUCAUUAGUACAAAGUGAAAAUUGAACAUUUCUUUCAAAUAGCAAGGCAAAUUAGAAAUCAGUCUUCAAAUGCAAGGUAAACAUGCCUUUGCAGGGCUUUGCAGGGCUUUGUAGGGUGGAAAUUUGAGGCCUACAUUGUCUCCCUAAAUGUGAUUUGGGUGCCAUAGUUCUAAAGAGAUUGUUGCUAUAGAAGAGCUUACAAGGAUGUUGAGAUAUUGCUGUAAGUUCCUUCAUGCACUUCACAGUGAUAGUAAAUGCCUUGUGAUGGCAUCUUAAACUCGUACCAUGGCAUCUGCAUUGCCAGUUCAAAGAUUAAAUGGCCCACAACCAAGAACAAAGUGAAGAAAAUGAGAAAACUCUAAGAAUGUUGCUGUCCCCUUAAGUUUCUCUGGCCAUAAAUUCGCUGCUACAAUAGCUUAUGUCCUUUCUACGCUUUAAGUUUCAGUGCCCGUAGCGGAUAGAUGUCGUUUGGACACUGUUGACCACAAUUGACUAUCGUUGACCAAUGGACCGUUGACUUGGCUGACUAUGCUGGGUUCGAUUCCUGCGCUGGGCGAUAUUGCCAGGGCUAGGGUUCUUCGAUGGGGCUCAAGCUGCGAGCAGUGCCGAUCACGGAGGAUAAUUUCCGGCCUUGGCCAGCUCCUGGGAAAGAUCGGCGACGGAUGCGAGUAUGGAUCGGGAGACGCGCAGCUCAAUCUCGCGAAUGGGAUUCCCAGGUAGUGCAGGCAAAAUGUGGCCGAAAUUUCCAGCGGCUCGGUAGUGAUUGAGUGAGUGAUGUUUCCUUUGCGCAGAUUCUACCUCAUGGAGCUCAAGAAAACGGGGCUGCGAUUCAAAAGGAUAACGCAUCACGCCAGGGUGACGCAGUGUCAAGCUAAACGAAGGAACUUGGC
rnacentral:lncRNA from 1 species